AGAGCCAGUUCUCUUCAGGAGCAUGCCAGGCUGAAGCUUUGUCCUAUGGAGAAGCAGAAAAGGUCAGAGGAGGAGAAAGAAAGAGCCCUUCCCGGUCAAGGAGCCAGCCAGGGAGGGAGACAAAAGGAAGGAGGCUCCAUGGAGAUGCAAUGUGAUUAGCUGGCCUUCUGCUCUGACCACCGUGACUUCCCUGCCUGAAACCAUGUCUUCCCCUCCAUGAUACAAGUCACAAGAUGAAAUAAAUCCUUCCUUCCCUAAAAUGGGUAUUUUUGUCUCAUCAACAAGAAAGUUAACUUAUGUAAAGCUGGCUCUAGGGAAGUCAUUAGGAUUUGAUGAGGUCAUGAGACUAAGGUCCUGGUGAUGGUAGUAGUGGCUUUUGUAGAAGGAAAGGAGGAGGAGAAGGAGAAGGAAGAAGAGGAGGAGGAGGAGGAAAAGGAAGAGGAAAAGGAAGAGGAGGAGGAAGAGGAGGAGGAGGAGGAAAAGGAAGAGGAGGAGGAAGAGGAGGAGGAAGAGGAGGAGGAUCCAUGCUGUCUCACCACAUUGCCCCCUGGUUAUACUAUGAUGUUUCAGAUGAGUCUUCAUCAGAUGCCAGGCAGAGCUGGCACCAUGCUUGGGCUUUCAGCCUCCAGAAAAAUAGCAAAAGAAAUUUCUAUUCUGUUCUCUUUUCCAGAAAAACAAGCAACAACAAUAAAACCCCACAUUUGUUCUAAAGCAAUGAUAGAUAAAGAGAAACCUCUUCUUUUCAUAAUGACAACAGAUAAACACAGAAAGAAUAUGGAGUUCUUUUAAAAAAUAAAAUCACAAAUUUGCCAACAUUCUAAUAAAAGUUAUUAAGAUACAGGAUCAUCAAAUGAUACUAAAUCUAGGAAGGGCAGGUGUGAGGAGCUACAGAAUUGUCAAGACAAUAUCAGCAUUUCUUAUAAAACAGUAACUGGGAGAAAUAGUAACUAGACAAUGCAGAAAAUAGACAACCUCUUUUCUGUGUGAUGGAAAUUAACACCAAUAACAAGGACUAUUCUGCUCAUCUGAGCUUGGUACCCAGGGUUGCAUCACUUAAUAGUAUUCUCACCCACACCACACAAUCCAAAUCUACCCACGAGGAAACAUCAGGAAACUCCAGUGAAGCUGAUCGUCUUCAAAGACAUCAAUACAACAAAAGACUGGAAAGGGCAGAGGAAUGGCUCCAGAUCAGCAUCAUGACAGCACAAUCUACAAUCCCAGACUGGAUCCCGCCUCUGAGAAAUUACCAGCAGAGCAAAUGAAAUCGGAAUAGAGACUGCAGAUCAGAUGAAAGUCCCGUCUGAAUGGGAGACUGCAGGAUUUAUAUGCUUCAGUGAGACUGUGUGCUUGCUCUUGUGAAUGCAGUACCAAUGAAGACCUGCAUAGGAGGGCCUGAGUCUGCUCAUUGGACCAACUUGUGAGAGGAAAGUAUUCAGGGGCACCUCUGAAGAUAGCUGUAUGAAGAUGAGGAAAACCCCACAGAUUUCACAAGCAUCUCUACAAGACUUCCUGUUUUCCACUUCUCCAUUUGUCAGACUCAGACCAUUAACUGUGGUUCAGUUUUGGUCCAAAGCUUUCUAUCGGACUCCUCUGCUAGCCAAGGAGUACAGUCUUAUCUGAAUCCCAGAGGCACAUGCCCUGAGUAUCCCACCACUUGAAGAUUGCUAGUGAGGUCAGAGGUGAUAUUAGCAAAUGUGAUUUUCCAAUACUGAACCAUGAAAUAUGUCACCGUUUGCAAAAUAAGUGCAGCACAGGUAACCGAUAUUUCCAGGUGAUCAAUUCAUGAUGUAAAAUUCCAUCAAAGAAUAAGACGGAUCAAUGGAUUUUAAUGUAACAGCAUAUUAAAAGGUUUCCAAGCUGUAACUCAAUUUAAGAAACUACCAUUUGUUGAAUGUUGCUAUAAUUUCCAUGAAAGCCCACACUUAGCAGAAUGCAAUCAAAGCAAAUAUCCCUCACUUUUCUACCUCCUUGACUGCGUGAGGCCAUGUUGGAUUCGUAUACUCAUAUAAAACAAUAUGACAACAGACUAUCUAAACACCUCUAUAGCCACUGAGCUAAUUUCUAUUAAGAAAGACACUAAAGGGAUUUUUGAAAUUGGAAAACUCAGCAUCCUGGGCAUUGUGGUGUGCACACCUACAUGGCAGCAGCCAGCACUUGGGGAAUGAAGGCAAAAGGUACAAGGCCAGCCUUGGGCUAAUAAGGAGAGUUCAACUCUGGCCUAGGUCAUAUAAUACCUUGUCUCAAAACAAACAAAAGAUCAAAAAAAGUAAAAUCAGGUUGCUGUUCUUGCUAAUUUUGUUUUGAAAACAAACAAAAAAAUUAAUCUUGUAUUCACAUGUAAUUUGUUAUUAUAUUUGAAUAAAGUAAUAUAUAGUAAAGU
ensembl:lincRNA 2900052N01Rik RIKEN cDNA 2900052N01 gene